GAGCUUGAUGACGUAUAUGUCACAUGAGCAACCUGUAAGUCUUCUAAUCGCUGUGCCAAGAGAAAUCUGAAUCACCCACUGAAUCUUGCAGAGAAGGCGAGCGUGAACAGCAGCAAAUUUUGCAUAUCCACAACAUCAUACCCCUCGCAAUCUGUCGCUUUGAAGCCCUUCGUCCAGCAGACCAGAUCUCCCUAAACAUUUGGAUGGCAAGGAUGAUCGAUCGAGAGUUGCAUUUGUCUGUGUGCUUAAACAGUUGGUUUUAAGGUGUUUAAGCCUUGUUAUGAGAAUUAUAGUGACAGCUGAAGUGACUUCUGAUAUCUCAAGAAAAGAUUCUUGUUUACCUUAUCAAUACCUGUCUGGUUGCAUGGGAAAGAGAAGGUGAAGCCGAGAGGCAAACGAGUGUUCUUCAUCCCCAUAUAGUCCAAGAAAUCCGAGAUGCACUGAACUAUGUGGUCAAACAACUGGAAUAAUAAUAAUAAUAAAGCAUUUCUUGUGAA